GACGAACGCUGGCGGCGUGCUUAACACAUGCAAGUCGAACGGAAAGGCCCUGCUUGCAGGGUACUCGAGUGGCGAACGGGUGAGUAACACGUGGGUGAUCUGCCCUGCACUUCGGGAUAAGCCUGGGAAACUGGGUCUAAUACCGGAUAGGAGCCAUCUUUAGUGUGAUGGUUGGAAAGUUUUUUCGGUGUAGGAUGAGCUCGCGGCCUAUCAGCUUGUUGGUGGGGUAAUGGCCUACCAAGGCGGCGACGGGUAGCCGGCCUGAGAGGGUGGACGGCCACAUUGGGGCUGGGAUACGGCCCAGACUCCUACGGGAGGCAGCAGUGGGGAAUAUUGCACAAUGGGCGCAAGCCUGAUGCAGCGACGCCGCGUGGGGGAUGACGGCCUUCGGGUUGUAAACUCCUUUCGCUAGGGACGAAGCUUUUUGUGACGGUACCUAGAUAAGAAGCACCGGCUAACUACGUG
rnacentral:rRNA from 1 species